AAAUUUGAGCCUGUUGAGAGAAAAGAUGGCGCCAAUAUUACAGGGGUAAAAGUGUCACUUAACACACACCCAUUUCCACCCUGCACAAAUUAGUUCAUUUCAGGAAAAUAAAAAAUAAUAAAAAAUUAGGCAAGAGAAAGAUGCAGAGGAAUAUCAUGACGGCGGCGGAGGGCGGAGCUUCCCACGGGCUGGGUGACACGAGGAAGACGAUGAAGGAGAUGGAGGUUGAAGCGGCCGCUCUCGCGGUGAAAUUGGAGCAAGACAUUGGCGCAAAUCAAGGAGAUACGAUGAGUUAUGCCGACUUCAAACAAUGCUCAACGAUUGAAGCUGAUUAAAGAGAUACUUCCGCCCAGCAUGAACACGGCCACUAUAUACAGCGUAAUGACGCAAACGAGGAACAAGGUGGAUUUUUGAUCAGCUGUCUUUGAUUGAAAUCUAAAAAGGACCAAUUUCCCCGGCAUGAAGUAAUUUUGCACUCGAAAUUUACGCGACAGCUCCUUACUUGUAUUCCCCUUAUGGAUAUAGCCUAUAGGAAGGUCCCCAGGUUCAGGGAGCCAAUGCAAUACAGCCCUUACACUUUUAAAACAUCACUUGUGACUUCACACUAUAUACAAUACAGGUAUGUAUU